AGCUUUGCGCAGUGGCAGUAUCGUAGCCAAUGAGGUUUAUCCGAGGCGCGAUUAUUGCUAAUUAAAUUAACUAUAUAAUAAAUAGAUAUAUAUGUAAUUUAAGUUAGUGUUGAUGUCAUCUCUGUAAAACUGUGUGUA